rnacentral:lncRNA from 7 species
AUCUUGGAAGUCUCACAUUUUCAGACAGUUCAAGAGCUUGAUUUCUGGAGUACAAGCCUUGAGAGUGCAUUGGAAGAGGACUGCCCUGUGACCCACAACCUCCCAGUGCGUCUGCCUACUGGAUACAGACAAGAGUUCAUUUUUGGAGUUGGUUUGGAUCUUGAGUUUCAGUCCACAGAACUUUUUUCCCAUGGUAAAUUUUUCCAUUCUCUUCUCCAGUUGCACACUUCACCACUUCUGCUCCUUUGGCACUCCAGUUUGCAGCACCACUUGGUGAACAGGAUCAGAGACCAUUUCAAUCACGUCUUAUUUCCCACCACCUUCCCUGAGCAGGCAAGGUUUGAGCAACACCCAGAGUUUGUAGCGUCCUGUGGGUGAAAAACAGACUCUCAAGGGAUGCAACGUCUUGGAGCUACAAAGGAGCGCUUUCCACGUUGUCAAUCUGUGAGUGAGCUGCUCUGGUAUAAGGAGCUCAUCCAUCAGUUACAGCCUCCAUCUAAACUGGGGAUGUGUGGAUGUAGCUUAAGUGGAUCUUGGGAAGAGUACAGAAGUGGCAGUUCCGUUCAAUGAAGGACACUACACUGUUGAUGAAAUAUCAUUACUCCUUUACUCCUUCUCUUCGCAUCUUUCCAGUCAUUUUCAUCACGACUUUUGCUGAUUUUGUGCCUGGAUGGGAUUGGUGGCUAUUAUAGGCAGAAGCUGUCGCCUGUAUAGAUACAGAUGUGCGCGAUGCAGGCGCCAAACGUGAGCAUUCAGGAUCCAGGCACUGACGCCAGUUGGGAGCAGGAGCUGCCAAAGCUUCAGAUUUGAGCAGCUGGAAGGAGCUGUCAAAAAGUCACUGCUGUCAACUACCCAUGGAAAAAUGCCCGCUCCCAUCAGAGCAUCCCCACCGCAGCUGGUCAGAGCCAGCUGACACCGAAGAUGUCGUCUUCAAAAAGGGUAAAAAUAAUGCACGGGGCUCUGGGGAAUCUCGUCACUCUCCAGACGUGCUCUUUCUCAGUCCCACGUGAAAAUAAGCAGUAGAGAGAAAAAUCUGUGGAGUCAUUGUUUGUGUUGAUGUAUGUUUCUGCUGAUAGAUGUGGCCAGUUACUAGGGCUUUUAAUCCAGUUGGUUGAGGGGUUUUUUUGGAAUGUAAAAUUAAUUUCUUUUUUUUAAAUGAACUGUAUAAAUAAAGUGGUAUAAUU